UUUUUUAUGGCCGAGCAGGCCUUAGAUUUUUAAUCUAAUCACGGAGUUUCCU
rnacentral:tRNA from 1 species